UUAAGACAUGUUUCAUGAUGAUAAUGAAAGUACAGAAAAAAAAGGAAGAAAAAAAAAGAUGGAAUAGAAACGGGGUUCAACAUGUCAUAGUGUGAUUAACCCAUGUGGUUAGAGGAGUUUUGAUUUACUAUGACAGUGGGUCAUGAGUUGGCUUAUCUGCCCCAUCUUCCUUCUAUAGACAAUCAUAAGGGCCUUGUUCCAAUGUGGGACUAUCAACAGUGUCCUCACUCUAGGACUUGGCAUCCUCAUUCAAAUCCAACACAGCCCAAGUGGCUUGAUGCCAUGAAGUGCUUCUUGCAUUGAUUCCAGGUUUACACCUAUGAUAUUCUCUGCC
rnacentral:lncRNA from 1 species